GCGGUAAUAAUGGUCUGGCGGUGGUCCAAUGAGGUGAGAAAAAAAUAUAAAAAGUGGGAGGGUUUGGUCACAAUAUUGAGAGAAAAAAGAAAAGAAAAAGAGUGGUGGAGGAAGGUUUUCCUGCAGUGGUUCGCGGUGGCUCACAGCGGCGAUGGUGACAGUGACACUGAAGGGCGGUGAUCGAAAGGAAAGAGGGGGAGAAGAGAACCUUGGAUAGUGGUGUGGAGGUGGUGAAGCUAUAGCUCACGGUGGAGGAAUUUUAGGCGGUGAUUGUUUGGCCAAAAAGGAGUGGAAACGAAGUGGAGAGGAGAGGAAAAGAAAAGAAAAGAAAGGGAAUGAAAGGGGUGGACGACAAUGGGGUGUUUUGGGGUGGUCAACAUUUGAUUUUUGUCAAGGA
rnacentral:lncRNA from 1 species